CGUUAUGACAUUUGUGAAUGAACCCAUUGUAUAGUAAUUAUAAAAAUAAGCGUAAAAAAACAAACGUCAAAAGCAUGGUUUGGAAUUGCUGAUUUGUUCCAGUGCAUUUACUAGCACUGACAGCCGACAUAACACUUUCAAUGGAUUGACAGAUGUGCUGAAUAAUCGACAAAGUAGGCGAAGCUUCAGGCUAGCUCAGCUUUGUUGGCUUGGUUGGCCUUCUUGUGGCGGAUUUGGAGACGAACGGACGUGUUCGUGUCGCGCUCUGUGCUGGUGGAGCAGAUUCGAUCAUAAACAUAUCUUCACCGUAAAUCGUGUUCGUCAUGGAAUCCCUCAACCAGCAAAUGUCGUUGAAACAAGAUCUUCACAAGGAAUACACCAUUAUUCUGUUUGGUGAAACCGGCUCAGGCAAAUCAACUUUGAUAAACUAUCUGACGAAUUAUUUCCAUAACGGUACACUCGAGAAUUUGAAAAUUGCCAUUCCUACGAAGCAUUAUGAGGCAACCGAGGGUCUACAGCACCACGAAGACAAUGUUCAGGAUUCUUCAAAAAGUCAAACUAGAGCCUGUACUGUAUAUAAUUUCAAAAAAGAGGACACAAUGUUCAACUUUAUAGACACCCCAGGGCUCAGUGAUACCAGAGGGGCGGAUCAGGAUGACUUCAAUAUACAACAAAUUAUGGAAGCUGCGGAGCAGAGUGGAGUGUUGACUGCUAUUAUCCUCGUUAUAAAUGGAACGCAGGCCCGAGCCACAGUAACACUACGCAACACGUUGUGUCUGUUGAGAAGCUCAAUCCCAGAUGUCUUUCAGCAGAAUCUCGUUGUUGUUCUAACAAAUUGCUCUGUUGCUACCGUCAACUUCGAUCUGGAGCAUUUGAAACCUUGGACUGUUCCUGAGGCGAAUGUUUUCCACAUGAACAACUGUGCCCUCAGUAAACCAGUAUCACAAUGGAUAAACGACAAUCGUGCGAAGGAAAAUAUGGAAUAUGAAUGGCAAUGCUCAAUGAAAACUAUCGAAGAAUUGAACCAGCACUUAACGAAGCUUGGUGGCAAAGCGACCGAGGCUUUUAAACAAAUGCGGAUUAACAAAAACUUAAUAAAAUCGCAGCUACAUGGAAUUUUAUUGGAGGUGAAGAAAAUCCAAGAUCUUCAAAACGAACUAGAUUUUAUGAAAACCACACAGCAAAAUGUAUCCGCCGACAUUAAAAAAUAUACCGAAUUCAAGCAAAGAAAGCAAGUAGAGUAUACGGUAUUGGAACGAUGUAAAAAAGAAGUCAGUAAGUUCUGUAUUAAAUGCUUGAAGCCAUGCCAAGCCCUGUCCUCAUCGCACAGAUCGAUACCAAUUUAUAGAGACAUAUCCAACCUUGUAGAAUAUAUCUUUAUGUCCAAAUGUCACUGCAACCAUACACCGUUCAAUCAUUACGAUAGCAAAGUUAAAUUAGUCACGAAAACAGCUACCGUCGAAGAAAUUAUUCAAGAUGUGAAAAACAGCUAUGAUGAUAGCAUGAGCAAAAACAAGGUAAUACAGUCUAAAAUUGACAGCCUGGACACCGACAUCGCUGCACUGGGACAUGCUCUCGAUAGAAAACAAGUCGAAAUACGGAAAUGUUACCAAGAGCUCAAGAAGCUCUGCUCGCUGAAUAACUAUGCGCACGAGCUCAAGAGCUUCAUUGCUGUUAUGGAGAGAGAUGCCCGUACGCUUACUUCCACCGUGGCAAGGACCGAUGCUGAGAGGAGAAUUAGAAACAUGAAACAGUUAUUCGAUACGCUAUCAAUGGUUGAGAAGAGUGACUAGAACGCAAAGAAUAGAAUCAAGAGAGAGAGAGAGAAAAAAACAGAAUGAUUUUUCUACUUCUGAUAGUGCAGUGUGUGUUAAAUUUUAAUGAAGAAUUUAGAAUCUUUAAGAAGCUCAAUCAUUGCUCUUUCGGCUAUAUAUUAUUACAAAAUAUCUCCUCCGCAAAUUGUUUUUGUCAUGGAAUUCCUCAAGUCGGAAACGUCGUUGAAACAAAAUAUUCAAAAGGAGAUCAACGUUAUUUUGCUAGGCGAAACUGGUUCAGGGAAAUCAACACUGAUAAACUAUUUCACAAAUUAUUUCCAUAACGGUACAUUGGAGAAUUUGAAAAUUGCCAUUCCCACGAAGCACCAUGUGGCAACCGAGGAUCUGAAGCACCACGAAGACAACGUUCAGGAUACUUCAAAAAGCAAAACUCGAGCAUGUGCUGUAUAUACUUUCAGAAAAGAGGACACGAUAUACAACUUCAUAGACACGCCAGGGCUCAGUGAUACGAAAGGGGCGGCUCAGGAUGAUUUCAACGUUCGGCAAAUUAUGGGAGCCGCUGAGCAGAGCGGAAUGUUGACAGCAAUCAUUCUCGUUAUAAAUGGAACGCAGGCCCGAGCUACUGUAACGCUGCGCAACACGUUGUGUCUAUUGAGAAGCUCAAUACCAGACGUCCUUCUGCAGAACCUCAUCGUUGUUCUAACAAACUGUUUUGCUGCUUCCGCCAACUUCGAAAUGGUGCAUUUGAAACCUUGGACUGUUCCUGAGGCGAAUGUUUUCCACAUGAACAAUUGUGCGCUCAGUAGACCACUAUCAGUAAGGGUGAAAAACAUACACAUGAAGAAAAUUUUGAAAACAGAAUGGGAAUGCUCAAUGGAAACCAUCGAAAAAUUGAUCCAGAACUUGACGCAACUUGGUGGAAAAACGACCGAAGCUUUCACACAAAUGCGCAUGAAAAGAGACAGGAUUAAAUCGCAGCUGCAUAGCAUCUUGCUGGAUGUGAAGAAAUUCCAGGUUCUUCAAAACGAACUAGAUGUUAUGAAAAUCACACAAAAGAAUAUAUCCACUGACAUUCAAAAAUAUUCCGACUACAAGCAAACAAAACAAGUUGAAAUCACGGAGUUUGAGCAAUGCGGUUAUUACAGUACAAUCUGCUCUGUAUGCUCGAAUACGUGCUGUGAUGAUGGGACAAAUGUCAGUCCUUUCCAAAUAAUUCUUGGAAUGGUCCUGAAUGAAUUUCCUCUGCUUAACAUGGUAUACAACUUCAUAAAUUUAUUUUCAUCUUCUGUUGAACCGCUUUGUAAAUGCAACCAUCCCCUCCACAAACACUACAAUGCCAACGUUCGGCCAGUCAAGAGAAUCAAAACCAUCGAAGAAAUUCUUCAAGAUGUUAAAAACGCCUAUGAUCAGAACGUGAGCAAAAACGAGGAAAUAGAGAUUAAAAUCGGUAACCUGGACAGCGACAUCGCUGCCGUAAAAGAUGCUCUCGAUGAAAAAACAGCAGAAAUUCCGAAAUGCUGCCGCGAGCUCAAGAUGCUCUGCUCGCAGUUCAACUUUGUGGACGAGCUGCAGGGAAUCUUUGACAUCAUGGAGAGAGAUGCCCGUACGCUUACCUCGAUGGUGGUAAGGGCCGAUGCCGAGAAAAGAAUUAGAAACGUUAAACACGUCGUCGAUACGCUGACAAGCGCUGAGAAGAGUGGCUAGAACGCAAAAGAUUUUACGGGUGGCGAAACAAUCGCAUUGGUCCAAUAAAUGUUAAUGCGGUUGGAGAUUAUUUCUUAAUUACAAUUUUUUACUUAUUAUGGUUGUCUGGUAUGCAUAAAAUAUUAUGAAAAACUUGUAUCUAGAAGGUACAUAUUGUUGUUAAUUGACAGAUUGAGAAACGUAUCUUGUUUACCGUCCACCCCCGUUGGUUUGAACUACACCUCAGGUAUCAGGUAUCAGAAGGCCGGCUCCAGAGGCACGUUAUCCUCCAUUUGGGACAUUUGUGCCAUCGCCAAAAUAACAGCCUAUUUCAUCAUCUACCUGAGGGAAAAGGAAGGAAUAAGGAUUUGGAUGGGGAUAGGGACAGGUAGGGAAAUAGGAAAAAUACCCUGGAAGAGGGUACUAACGCACAAGCGUACCACAAUGGGUUCAAACAGCGCCCUUAAAAGAGCACUGUAAUAACGCAUAAAGCGAAAGAGAGCCUAUAGCUCUUUACCACAGCGGGUUAAGAACAACAGAAUAUCCUGAAGAUUCAGGUUUCUGAAGUCAGUUUCACUUAAUAAGUGUUUACCGAAUACUCGGAAACGCAGUUGCGCGAAAACUGGACAGUUACAUAUCAAAUGAUACGAAGUUCCAUAAUCGGAUUCACAGCUAUCACAGGCAAAUGAAUCAGCUUGUUGAAUAUUCGCCAUGUGAUAGCUGAGUCGGCAGUGGCCAGACAGAGCUUUGACCAGCAUGCUGCAAUUCUGCUUAGACAGAUUAGUUAGAUACUUCGCCACCCUUGGAGAUGGCUCAGCACUAUACAAUUUGGUUUGACGACAUGACUCCAAACUAUUCCAAUAUUGUCUGUGUUGUGUGACAGCCCAGGUGUGAAUCUGAAGCUUAAUCCAACACUUCGAUAUCGGAAUAGCUGGCUCAGGGCCAAUGAAGUCAUGUGAUGCUCCUGUUACCGUUGAGAAACGCUAACUUUGUUUAUUACGUUGUUUUUGAGAAUAAAUUUGUAAAUUGUUUAGUAUUUGUUAGUAGAAUUUAGAUAAAAUUGUUAUUUUGUUAUUUGUUAUAAGUUAGUAAAUUGUUAGAGAUAAAUAAUAAAAAUUUGUUAACACACAUGCACCCAACACUGAACAGAUCUAAGACAACACAUACACAAAAUGAGCCAAAAAGGGGAGAAGUGGACGCCAUGACACAUCCACGUCAGAAAGAGAAAGAAAAAGGGAAAUUGGGAAAAGGCAAAGGGGACAGGCUACUGGGUCGAAGA